GGGCCCGCACAAGCGGUGGAUUAUGUGGUUUAAUUCGAAGCAACGCGCAGAACCUUACCUAGGCUUGAAAUCCUACGAAUCUGGCCCAAAAGCCGGAGUGCCCCUCGGGGAAUGUAGAGACAGGCGCUGCAUGGCUGUCGUCAGCUCGUGUCGUGAGAUGUUGGGUUAAGUCUCGCAACGAGCGCAACCCCUAUUUUUAGUUGCCAGCAUUAAGUUGGGCACUCUAGAGAGACUGCCUGGGUUAACCAGGAGGAAGGUGGGGAUGACGUCAAGUCCUCAUGGCCCUUAUGCCUAGGGCUACACACGUAAUACAAUGGUCGGUACAAAGGGACGCCAACCGCAAGGGGAGCAAACCUCAAAAAGCCGAUCUCAGUCCGGAUUGGAGUCUGCAACUCGACUCCAUGAAGUUGGAAUCGCUAGUAAUCGCGGAUC
rnacentral:rRNA from 1 species